AUUUUUAGUGGAGACAGGGUUUUGCCAUGUUGCCCAGGCUGGUCAUGAUCUCAUGGGCUGAAACAAUCUGCCUGUCUUAGCCUCCCAAAGUACCAGUAUUACAGGCAUGAGCCACUGCACACAGCCAGCCUUCCUUUUUAAGGAUAAAAGUUUAGACCAAACAAAGAAACAACAUUUGUAAAAAAUAGUCCACCAUUACCUCUCCACUUCAGUGGGGAUGCCAGAGAGUACAUCUCCACAAAGAGCAAAGGGUAGAUGAAGGGAAGUUAUAGAAACUGCAGGUGGGAGGCUAAGCAAAUGGACGUAAGAAAUACAACACUAUAAGCCAUUAACUCACUCACGCGUUCAUUUCUUCAGAAAACGUUUAUUGAACACCAACUACAUUGUAGGCCUGUGCUAGUUACAUGGGAGAUAGUGAUGAAUGAGGUAAAGUCCAGGCCCUCAUGGAACUUAUUGUUUUGCAGGGAACACAGGUAAUCACAGAAUGCUGUAAUAAGUGCUAUACAGGGUAGCAGAGGGCACAUGGGGGCCCAUAGGAGGAUCCCUAAUACCGAGUGGGGUUAGGGAAGACUUCCCAGAGGAAGCGAAAGUCUAAGCUAAGAUCUUAAGUGUGAAAAGGAGUUAGCUGGAACAAGGGUGUGGAGUGUGGAGCGGUGAGGAAAAGGAGAAGAUUCUAGGCAGGGGAACUCUCUAGAUGAAGGCUCUGCAAAGAAAGAAGGUAGGAUGUAUCUGGAGAGCAAAAAUAUUACUGUCUGGUGGCACCACAGCAGGGAGAAGACAGGUCAGGGAGAUGAAGGUGGAGAAAUAGGCAGGGGCCUGAGAUAAUGGACUUGUUCCUGUAUCUGUCUGGAAUAUCAGAACCCUUGUCUGUCAGAAUGCCCUGUGUCUGCAGAGCUGCCUAUGCUGUGUAGAGCAGAGCAAGAACUGCAAGAUCUGCAAGGCCCAUGCUGGUUUGGCUCUGUCUCUGUCCUGUCUAAAUUGGGUUGGUAUGGCACUUUUGGUGAGGCCUUUCUUAACCGGUACAAUGUGGUUCAGCUGCUUACUAGAAAGGGGGCAGGAGAGGCCCACCUGUGACCUGGGCUCCGAGACCACAACUCCAGCCCAGCUGCUCUGCCUCCAACUUUGUGCAAAUCACUCAAGCUUCCUAGCCUGCCAUUUCAGCAACUGUAAAAUGACAAGCUUCUCCAGGUGAGCUCUACCCAAGGUGCCUUCCAGGUCUAAUGCUAUGAUUUGAAGAGACGACAUCCAACUGCAGGGUCUGGUUGGUCCCUGAUUCCUGAAGCUUGACUUUGAAUAUGAAUGACAGUUCAAGACCUCAGGCUUACUGACUAGCUCUGUCCUCCUUUUGUGUUUUGAAUAUUGACUUACCCGCUGCUUAUCUGGGUCUACAAAGCGGAUACCAAAAUAGUCUUUCUCAAGUAGGUUCAGGUGGUGGCAAAGAAGGUCAAACAGGUACUGGCCUUUGGCAUCUCUCUGCAAAGAAAGAAAGUUCCAUUGAGAAAUAAGUGGGCUUCUUCAGUGUAACUUUGUUUUGUUUCUUUUUGUUUUUUGUAGCCAUUAAAAGUUGUUUGCAACUGUUGCAUGUGUCUAUGAAAGGGGUGAGUGUCCAUAACUAUGUCCUCCACAUUGUGAUACAUCACUGUCUGGAAUCCAGAGGUUUUUAGCACCUGGAAGGAGCCCAAGAACCCUUCCCACCACAAAGAUGUCAGAGGAGUCAAGGUAGAGUCAGACUGUAAUUUUCAUGAAGUCAGAAGCCGUCCCCCAGAACUUAGCACAAGGCCUGAGGCAUGGCAGGCAGGUCCUCAAUAAUUCUUUGUGGAAUAAAUUACUGAACGAAUAGAAGGGAAAAGGUUGGCUGAAAGAUUUCACAAAAUGGUGAAAAGCUAGGCUGUUUAUAACCCAUAACCUUCUACUUCAGAGACCUGCCUGGGUGCCAAGGAUGAAGUGGGAGGAGAAUGACUUGCAGGAAACUGUCAAAACACCUGGAGCCUGCACAGCAUCCAUCACUGGCCUCCCUGCAGUGGUCUCUGCAGCUUAGUUCAGAUAAUCAUCUCUGGCGGGUCUAUGUCUAAUUUUGCAUACAAUUUGAGGUUGUAUGAGGAAUUUCUGUAGUGUAGUGGUUAUCACGUUUGCCUCACAAAUUGAGGUUGUAAGAUAAGAUCCAAAGAUCUCUCCCAUGCCAAGGCCCAAGGCUGUGGGUAAUUAUCAAAGGGCCUGGCCCUGCCCCAAGAAUGAGCAUAUUUUUAAGACCUUCACAAAAGGUUUACACCUCCCCUCUUCCCCUUCUGCUAGCUCACCCCAUACUAUCCAAGGAGAACUAGGGUAGGAUGCUAAUCUCGUAGCAGUUAUGUUAAGAAGUUUGUCCUUGCAGGAGCUGGAAGAAUGGGUGAGUAGACAGCUCAACUACAGAAGGAGGCAACAUGUGGGCACACGUCCCUCCUCGUCUGAGACAGGAAUAAUAUAGGGUGGUCACAAGAGAAUAAAAAUUCCAGACAGCAGUUUCACACGACUAGAGGCUAUGGGCUGAUAAGACCCUAAAAAACAGGACAUGGACCAAGCUAGCUAAUACCUACUGAACCCAGUAUGUGGCUGGAUUUGACCUAGGUUUCUCCUAGGACCUCAUUAUAAACUCAUUAACAUACUAGAUCACACACCUACCAGCGCCAGGACUGUUCCAAGACCACCCAUAUUUGCUGUAAAAAUAGGUGCCACUGCGGUUAUGAGAAAUCUCUACCCUUUCCCAAGAAUUUUCAUGAAUAUUCCACCCCUUGGUUAAAGAAACCCAUAAAGACAGAAAUCCCAAACCCCACUGUGUGACUCUCUUGAGUGCGCCUACGCUCCCUUUUCUUGAAUGUGUACUUUGCCCUUUGCAAUAAAUCUCUGUACUUUUACUA